GAAGCCCGCCAGACCACCGCUGGUGCAAUUUGGGAAACCAAGCACUGGAGGAACGUCCGGACUGCAUAGGGCAGCGUAGCAGCUAACGGCUGUCCACUGAAAGUCCCGAGCGCAAGCAAAGGAUAUAAGGUGAGGAUCAGAGCAACAGAGACGAGUCGCACCAGGGCAACCCGGUGCGGGUGAAACGGGCAAUCUCUACGCGCAGCAAUACCAAGUAGGCACACGUUGACGGGGCCCCCGGAGUGUGCGGGUAGGUAGCACCGAGCCACUGGGUGACCAGUGGCCCAGAUUAAUGGUGGUCACAUGGGGGGAAACCCCCAUGCACAGAAUCCGGCUUAUCGGUGGGCUUCACAC
rnacentral:RNase_P_RNA from 1 species